rnacentral:rRNA from 1 species
UACGUAGGGAGCGAGCGUUGUCCGGAAUUACUGGGUGUAAAGGGAGCGUAGGCGGGCGAGAAAGUUGAAUGUUAAAUCUACCGGCUUAACUGGUAGCUGCGUUCAAAACUUCUUGUCUUGAGUGAAGUAGAGGCAGGCGGAAUUCCUAGUGUAGCGGUGAAAUGCGUAGAUAUUAGGAAGAACACCAGUGGCGAAGGCGGCUUUCUGGACUGAAACUGACGCUGAGGCACGAAAGCGUGGGGAGCGAACAGG